GUCGUGUGUGUGUGUUCUGAUUCUGGUAAUGUAACUUUAGAUGAUAUAGACUUCGUUUACAUGAUUUUAGACAAAUUCCUUACUCUUUUUUUCGGAAUCAGAUUCUGAUGAAACUUUUAUCCCACAUUUUUUCUUCACUUUUUUUCUCUCCAUUUUCUCACUCGGUUUUCGUUUUUGCAAGAUACCGAGAGAACAAUAUUUAAUUAAGAAAGGAUAGUUAGUGUGCAUGCGUGCCUAUGGGUGGUAUAGUCCUGUAGCAGUCUGAAGAUGAUCGUAUAGUCCUGUAGCAGUCUUAAGAUGAUCAUCCUGUCAUCCACAUCCUUCUUUUUAUUGUCCUCCUUUAGGGAUUCUUGCUUCUUGCACGUAAACGUAUUGUCAUUUACUUCCUCAUUCUUUCUUCGUCUUGAUGUUACUUGUCUUGCUCUUCGUCACACGCCGCCGCCUCGCCACCACGGCUGCUGUUGGUGCUGCCGGCAACUACAUUGUCCUCGUCAUUGCGUUCCCUCAUGCGUCGCUGUCAUGGCACCCUGGAACACUACAGCCACAACUGCUGCUGUCUUUUAUCCUAUAACAGGCGUGUGAGCGGUGUUGUGAUCGUCGCCUGGAGGUGUCCAUGUUCCGGGAGUCGCUGCCCUUCCAGUCCCCCUCCGCUGUCUGUCUGAGCAACCUGGGUGAAGAGCGGCGGACGCCGCGUUCCAUGUUAAUGUUUGCUGACCAGCCGUCCUCUCUUAUUUUCUCGGUCCUAGCGAGGUGAAGGAGGGACGCUUGCUUCUGCGGCAAACAGAAGCAAUCCACGAGGACGACAGAAAGGUGCGAACGUUUGAGGUGGAUGAAAAUAAUUAAAUAAUUGCUCAAUAUGUUGCUGACCAGCAGUCUUCAACGUUCGCACCGUGUCGUCCUCGUGGGUUGCCAUCUUAAACGUUUAACCUUCACCACUUUAUCAGAAGCCGCCUCCUUUACUAACUAGUAGGGACUGGAGAGGCAAAGAGGACGGGGCUGAUCAGCAAACGGAUGGAGAAACCAAGAGUAUGCCAUCUCGUGUCUCCAACCCUACGGGGUAGUUGUAAGCACCGAGCAGAAUCAGGGAGCCAAGACGCAAGUAUGGGGAUAGCCCGCGAAUGCCCGGCGAUGUCUUUAGUACGAAAACUCUGGGAGGGUGAAGAGGCACGUGGCAUUCAUUGGGUGAGAACUCGCAUGUUGCUGAAAGACAAGUAAGUGUUGCAACUAUGGACAUCUACCACCAGAGCGGUAGCCGGCCAUUACGAAUUACCCACACCAUUUUGAGAUGAAGAACCGGAUCUGCCAAACAACAACAACGAGAUGGCGCAGAAACGCUUAAAGGGACAGACGACGCCUCGCUAGGGAUUCGGACUUCAGACGACGAUAUGCAGGAGAGAGAGAACAAUUGCUGUUAAAGAGCGAUGCCAGCGUCUGAACGUGAAGGACCACGAGGAGUAACCUGGUGCCUGCCUCACCAUCCACUCAUGAACCCAAACAAACCUGAGAAAGUGAAGGCUUUGUUUGCGCAGCGAAGUACAACAACGUUUCCCUCAAAGACUGAGUGAUGCAGGUUCCUGACCUAAAGAGCAAACUGGUGGGUGCCCUUCUGCGUUUCCGAAGUGAACGGAUUGCCGCGAUGGCUGAUGUGAAGGCAAUGUUUCUCAUCAAGCUGGCGUGACCCCUCUUCACCGAGACUCCUUAAGAGAUUCCUUUGGUGGAAAGAUGGGAACCUAAGGAGGGUACGGCCUACCGAAUGACGGGUAGGUCUUUUUGGGUGUGUAUGGAGUCCCUCCUGUGCUGCUUACUCAUUGCAACGAACUUUGACCGACUGUGAGGAAGAAUAUGGCAUAGCUAGUAGUUACUGAACAUGGAGGGGCUUGUACGUGGACAACUUACUUCUUUCAGUACCCUCCACCGAAAAGGCAUCCAGAUUUACUCGCGAUCUUUGGCUCACAAAGAGAGGAUUUCUGCUAAGUGGGUUAGUAGUAACCUUAAGGAGACAUAGUACAGUACUGUGUCCUACAGAGAGAGACAGGAAUAAGAAUAGAUCUGAGUAAGGACGCACUGGCUACAAAACGGGAUCUGGAAAGGGAUCAAUCAAUCAACUAGCUGUGAGGGGAGUACUGAGGGUGAGCAGCUCCGUUCAUGACCCUCUUGGACUGGUCAGUCCUGUAAUGAUUAAGGCGAAGGCGAUGAUCAAUUAAGGCGAAGGCGAAGAUCUUUCAGGACGAGUGCAGCCGAUAAGGAAGGAUGGAUGACCCCCUCCUAAAUCACCACAGGUCCUAGUUGGUUGGCUUGGCUGGAGGAGUUACCAGGACUGACGGUCUUUCAAGUUCCCCGAUGCUACAGGCGGGAGGACAUGGGAGAUGUUUUAUCACUUACCAACUGCAUCAUUUCAGAUCAAACAGGCUGAGAUGGUGAUAUUGAGAGUUGUUCAAACCACAACGUGCAAAGAGGAGAUGAACAUCCUAAAGUCAAAGUCAAAGAAAAAAAACUACAGAGGAAACAUUCGAUCUGUCGAGUGGAACCCUUCAUGGGUGAGGGUGGAUUUUAUACUCCAUGUGGACGGCUGGACCACGCACCAAUGCCUGCUACAAGUCGGUAUCCCAUUUCCAUGCUCAUACGGAGAGAGAUCAUCAUAUCACAAAAUUGAUUCUACAAGAGUGCAUGAGGACUUUACUUGACAGUUCACGCAGGAUGGGAGCAUGUUACGUCACACUUACUGGAUUCCACACACACCACCUGCCUGAGGACCGAGAGUAACCCCCAUGCUGGCACCAUUCUCGUCAGCUGGAGUGGAUUGCUUCAGACCGUUCUUGGUCAAAGUGGAAAGAAGCAGAGUGAGUGAGUGGGGAUGCCUCCACGUGCAUGACUACACACAUAAGAACAUAAGAAAUAAGGGAAGCUGCAAGAAGCGACCAGGCUUACACGUGGCAGUCCCUAUAUGAAAUAUACCUACCUAUUUUC